rnacentral:rRNA from 1 species
UGGGGAAUUUUGGACAAUGGGCGAAAGCCUGAUCCAGCAAUGCCGCGUGUGUGAAGAAGGCCUUCGGGUUGUAAAGCACUUUUGUCCGGAAAGAAAUCCUUGGCUCUAAUACAGUCGGGGGAUGACGGUACCGGAAGAAUAAGCACCGGCUAACUACGUGCCAGCAGCCGCGGUAAUACGUAGGGUGCAAGCGUUAAUCGGAAUUACUGGGCGUAAAGCGUGCGCAGGCGGUUUGCUAAGACCGAUGUGAAAUCCCCGGGCUCAACCUGGGAACUGCAUUGGUGACUGGCAGGCUAGAGUAUGGCAGAGGGGGGUAGAAUUCCACGUGUAGCAGUGAAAUGCGUAGAGAUGUGGAGGAAUACCGAUGGCGAAGGCAGCCCCUGGGCCAAUACUGACGCUCAUGCACGAAAGCGUGGGGAGCAAACAGGAUUAGAUACCCUGGUAGUCCACGCCCUAAACGAUGUCAACUAGUUGUUGGGGAUUCAUUCCUUAGUAACGUAGCUAACGCGUGAAGUUGACCGCCUGGGGAGUACGGUCGCAAGAUUAAAACUCAAAGGAAUUGACGGGGUCAUAGCUGUUUCCU